rnacentral:rRNA from 1 species
UACGUAGGGUGCAAGCGUUGUCCGGAAUUAUUGGGCGUAAAGAGCUCGUAGGCGGUCUGUCGCGUCGGCUGUGAAAACCCGUGGCUCAACCAUGUGGUCUGCAGUCGAUACGGGCAGGCUAGAAUUCGGUAGGGGAGACUGGAAUUCCUGGUGUAGCGGUGAAAUGCGCAGAUAUCAGGAGGAACACCGGUGGCGAAGGCGGGUCUCUGGGCCGAUAUUGACGCUGAGGAGCGAAAGCGUGGGGAGCGAACAGG